GUUAGGUUUCAAUAAUGAUAUAUGAUACAUGAUAUAAAUCAAAAACAAUGAGUCAAAAGGUUAAUAGGAAAAUAGAUAGCUGGAACCUUAAGAACAGCAGGUCUGCCAUAACAUACUUACUAAAAUAUUUUGAUGGUCCUUGGAGUGAAUCUGGUUGAGAAACACUGAUAUAUAAUAUACACUGGGUAGCCAUUGUAUAUAAUAAUAAUAUGUUUAUUGCAAUAUUACAAAAAAUCAUCCAGAGAAAAAAAAAUCAACAUAUAUUCACUAGUUAUCCAAAAAAUAAAUAAAUUGUAUAUUGCAAUUGGUCCGACAUCAGUAUAACUGUUAUUACUGUGGUAUCAAAAACUAUCAGAACAUAUGUAAGAAAAUUAACAAAAUUUCAUCCACUUUCAGCACACCGCAUAAAUAUAAUUCAACAUGAAUUGAGCCCACCCCGAUGAUGAUGAAUUUAACAUGCAAAAUAAAAUGCCUGAAAGUAACUACUCAAGAUCUACAUAAUCCAUUUGCACCCAGAAGCAGACUUUGAUAAUUGAACCUAAACGCAUCUGGUUUGCAGCUCUUGAGAUGAACUGGUACACGAUUAUAUAAUGAAUACAUUGUAAAUGAAAAAGAACGUUGAAAAAAAGCAGUCCUGAAAAUAGGUGGAGAAAGAAGACCCCUAAACCUCACAUUCACAGCAUGAACAUCUGAUCUGAAACGUAUUUUGUUAUACGAGGUGGUGAUUUAAACCAGAUAAUUGAAUGGAUAAAAACCGCAGAGUGAAGCUCACGUGUCUGAUCCAUAUUCAACCAAUUGCACCAUUUCAACUCAUGAAUAACUGGUUCAUACUUUCUGAUGACAUAGAUAAACACGCACCCUGUACUCGCUGGAUUCUCGCCCUGUCCUCCAGACGUAAGAAGGGGCCAUACAACGCGUCACAAAAAUUGAAAUGACUCAAGACAAGCGAGAUAGUAAGCUGUAUCUUCAACUUCUGCGACAGGAAAUGACUAUAAGGGUAUUGCCUUCUCAAUGCACAUAAUGAUACUCAGUGAACCGAAGGUCAUCAUCCAAAAUGACUCCCAAAUUUCAAGUUGAUCUGACAGUUGCAACCUUACUUUCGUUGACACUAAAUUUUAAUCUAUCAGCCGCCUUGCUGCCAAAAACGAGAACCUUUGUUUUAUCUGUGUAUAAAAGGCAUAUCGAAAGUCAGUACAAGAUUUGAGUCCAUCCAGAAUGAAACGUUUAUAUAUAUAUAUAUAUAUAUAUAUAUAUAUAUAUAUAUAUAUAUAUAUAUAUAUAUAUAUAUAAAAGAGAAAAGGUGCAAGUGCAGAGUCCUGAGGAACACCACAAUUCACAGCCCCCUUUUUAAGAUCUUCCCGACGAUAUCUCCACAUACUGAUAGUUGUAUUAGAUAUUACAAUAAAAUUAUAGAUUACACAGAAGAAACAACCACCCUCAAAAGAUUUAAAAAGCAAAUUUUCAAGCUUUUAAUACAAAUCGAACCAUACACGGUGGAAGAGUUUUUGAUGUAUGAUGUGGGGAGCUGGAACAGGACCUCUAAUCAGUAGAUGUUUGAAAUAUUUUUUUUGACGCUAUUUCAUUUCAAGAAGUUAUGUAUCACAUCUCUACUUUACUUGAAAUAAAGCUUGUUAUUAUUAUUA